GAGAUGGAUUACGAACUUGCAAGUCCUGGUGUGCUCUGUUCACUUUCAACCGAGGAACUCUUAACAAAAAUACAAGAGUGGGGCUUAGAUGUCACCGAAGCUGAAGCUCAGCGUUUCAGAGACAAUGAGGUUGAUGGUGACACAGUUGACUGCGGUCUUACUGAGACUAUGGUUGCAUACCUUUUCCAAGGAUCCUUCAAAAAGCAGGUUAAAUUCAACCAAUUUGUGUCAAGGAUGAAGGAAUCUUCAGUGACGCUGACUCUACAGACUGUCUCUCCAGAAGACUGGCAACCAUCUACUUAAUCAACUUCAAUAAGCAAUGAAAAUACUUUGAGACUGCCAGCCUCUUUUGAAAUUCCAAGAUUUCCCAAAAAUCUGCAACUAAAACUGGACAACAAAGAACCGUGCCAUAAAAAUCCAAGGGACAGACACACAAUAAUCAGAGUUCUAUAUGAAGCUGUGGCACAGUAUACUAUGUAUCCCACAAAUUCUGAAUAUGUGCAAGCUGUGAAGACGCUGGUAAUGAAGUAUCCUUUCCUCAAGGAUCGUGAGGGAAAUGGUUAUCACACAUGGCAUAUGUCUUUGAGACGUAAAUUCAAAUCAGAGCGGGCACCACUAGUCGACAGUGAGGCAGUGAGGCGUUGUAAGGAGAAGUUUGGUUCUACGAGGAGAGGGCAGCCUAAUAAAUGUCAACGAACAAGUCAGAGAAAUGUUUGUCAGGGACCAUGCGUCCAAGGAGAGGAUUUAUUAUCCAUAGACGCCCACUUAAAGGUCUUACAGUGCCAAUAUCAGAAGAUGCAACCAGAUACCAUGGUGGUUCAUAACCGUAUGCAG